AUUGAACGCUGGCGGCAGGCCUAACACAUGCAAGUCGAGCGAGCGGCGGACGGGUGAGUAUUGUCUGGGAAACUGCCUGAGGGAGGGGGAUAACUACUGGAAACGGUGGCUAAUACCCCAUACCAUCAGAGGUGCCCCGAUGGGAUUGGCGAGUGGGUGUGGUAACGGCUCACCUAGGCGACGAUCCCUCGCUGGUCUGAGAGGAUGACCAGCCACACUGGAACUGAGACACGGUCCAGACUCCUACGGGAGGCAGCAGUGGGGAAUAUUGCACAAUGGGCGCAAGCCUGAUGCAGCCAUGCCGCGUGUGUGAAGAAGGCCUUAGGGUUGUAAAGCACUUUCAGCGGGGAGGCGUUACCCGCAGAAGAAGCACCGGCUAACUCCGUGCCAGCAGCCGCGGUAAUUC
rnacentral:rRNA from 1 species